GUGCACUACAUCAGGGCCCUGGUUAAAUGUAGUGCUCUAGAAAGGGAAUAGGGUGCUAUGGGCCCUAGUUAAAAGAAGUGCACUAGAUAGGGAAUAGGGUGCUAUAGGCCCUGGUUAAAAGAAGUGCACUAGAUAGGGAAUAGGGUGCUAUAGGCCCUGUUUAAAAGAAGUGCACUAGAUAGGGAAUAGGGUGCUAUAGACCCUGGUUAAAAUUAGUGCAUUACAUAGGGAAUAGGGUGCCAUUUGGGCCACAUAGACCCACCCCAUGCUCAUUUAAAUGACCACAGACAGAGCGGUCUGUUGACCACAGCACUUUAAUCACCACCAGCCAGGCCAAGCUAAGCGAUCACAGAUCUGCUCCAGGCCAAGCUAAGCGAUCACAGAUCUGCGCCAGGCAAAGCUAAGCGAUCACAGAUCUGCUCCAGGCCAAGCUAAGCAAUCACAGAUCUGCGCCAGGCCAAGCUAAGCGAUCACAGAUCUGCUCCAGGCCAAGCUAAGCGAUCACAGAUCUGCGCCAAGCUAAGCAAUCACAGAUCUGCUGCAGGCCAAGCUAAGCGAUCACAGAUCUGCUCCAGGCCAAGCUAAGCGAUCACAGAUCUGUGCCAGGCCAAGCUAAACGAUCACAGGUCAGCGCCAGGCCAAGCUAAGCCCCGUCCUGAUUCAUACUAUACAAAACAGCUCCCCUCAUCCACAAAUCUGCAAUCCCAAUAAUCUGUCCUUUCUCCUGAAGUGUGCACUUGUGCACUCCUUCACAAAUGUAAAAGCAUUGGAUAGGUGGAGGUAUGGACUAGAGGAUAGGUGGAGGCAUGGUCUGGAGGAUAGGUGGAGGCAUGGUCUGGAGGAUAGGUGGAGGCAUGGUCUGGAGGAUAGGUGGAGGCAUGGUCUGGAGGAUAGGUGGAGGUAUGGACUGGAGGAUAGGUGGAGGUAUGGACUAGAGGAUAGGUGGUAUGGACUAGACUAGAGGAUAGGUGGAGGUAUGGACUAGAUGAUAGGUGGAGGUAUGGACUAGAGGAUAGGUGGAGGUAUGGACUAGAGGAUAGGUGGAGGUAUGGACUAGACUAGAGGAUAGGUGGAGGUAUGGACUAGACUAGAGGAUAGGUGGAGGUAUGGACUAGACUAGAGGAUAGGUGGAGGUAUGGACUAGACUAGAGGAUAGGUGGAGGUAUGGACUAGACUAGAGGAUAGGUGGAGGUAUGGACUAGAGGAUAGGUGGAGGUAUGGACUAGAGGAUAGGUGGAGACAUGGACUAGAGGAUAGGUGGAGGUAUGGACUAGAGGAUAGGUGGAGGUAUGGACUAGACUAGAGGAUAGGUGAAGGCAUGGACUAGAGGAUAGGUGGAGGUAUGGACUAGACUAGAGGAUAGGUGGAGGUAUGGACUAGAGGAUAGGUGGAGGUAUGGACUAGAGGAUAGGUGGAGGCAUGGACUAGAGGAUAGGUGGAGGUAUGGACUAGACUAGAGGAUAGGUGGAGGUAUGGACUAGAGGAUAGGUGGAAGUAUGGACUAGACUAGAGGAUAGGUGGAGGCAUGGACUAGACUAGAGGAUAGGUGGAGGUAUGGACUAGACUAGAGGAUAGGUGGAGGUAUGGACUAGAGGAUAGGUGGAGAUAUGGACUAGAGGAUAGGUGGAGGUAUGGACUAGAGGAUAGGUGGAGGUAUGGACUAGAGGAUAGGUGGAUGUAUGGACUAGACUAGAGGAUAGGUGGAGAUAUGGACUAGACUAGAGGAUAGGUGGAGAUAUGGACUAGACUAGAGGAUAGGUGGAGGUAUGGACUAGACUAGAGGAUAGGUGGAGGUAUGGACUAGACUAGAGAAUAGGUGGAGGUAUGGACUAGAGGAUAGGUGGAGGUAUGGACUAGACUAGAGGAUAGGUGGAGAUAUGGACUAGAGGAUAGGUGGAGGUAUGGACUAGACUAGAGGAUAGGUGGAGGUAUGGACUAGAGGAUAGGUGGAGGUAUGGACUAGACUAGAGGAUAGGUGGAGGUAUGGACUAGACUAGAGGAUAGGUGGAGGUAUGGACUAGACUAGAGGAUAGGUGGAGGUAUGGACUAGACUAGAGGAUAGGUGGAGGUAUGGACUAGACUAGAGGAUAGGUGGAGGUAUGGACUAGAGGAUAGGUGGAGGUAUGGACUAGACUAGAGGAUAGGUGGAGGUAUGGACUAGAGGAUAGGUGGAGGUAUGGACUAGAGGAUAGGUGGAGGUAUGGACUAGAGGAUAGGUGGAGGUAUGGACUAGACUAGAGGAUAGGUGGAGGUAUGGACUAGAGGAUAGGUGGAGGUAUGGACUAGAGGAUAGGUGGAGGUAUGGACUAGAGGAUAGGUGGAGGUAUGGACUAGAGGAUAGGUGGAGGUAUGGACUAGACUAGAGGAUAGGUGGAGGUAUGGACUAGAGGAUAGGUGGAGGUAAGGACUAGACUAGAGGAUAGGUGGAGGUAUGGACUAGACUAGAGGAUAGGUGGAGAUAUGGACUAGACUAGAGGAUAGGUGGAGGCAUGGACUAGACUAGAGGAUAGGUGGAGGCAUGGACUAGACUAGAGGAUAGGUGGAGGUAUGGACUAGACUAGAGGAUAGGUGGAGGUAUGGACUAGACUAGAGGAUAGGUGGAGGUAUGGACUAGACUAGAGCGAGUUCCACCAUGAAUUUGCUUUUUUACCCAAGAAAGGAAGUGAACAAGUGCACACUGAUAAAAAGGACAGAUUGUUGGGCCCCGUGCUGAACUCCCUCCUUAGGUUUCUAUUGGGAAGGGAAGGGAAGGGAAGGGAUAGGAUAGCGGGAGGAGAGGUGUAUCACCGCAGAGUUGGGGGUCAAAGGUCAUUGCACAAUAUUAUAGACUUGCUGUUCUGUAAAAGCCUAAUAUGCAAUGCAUUGUUUAUUAUUAUUAUUAUUAUUAUUACCAUAAUAAAAUAUGAUAAAAUAUAUUAUUUUCGUAUUUUUCCAUUUGUCUGAUGUCAAUCUCUCCCGCUUUGCCAGGGAGCCACCAUUGUUGGAUGAUGUAUAUUAUAUUAUACAUGUGUAAUAAAUAAGUCAUAUUAAUAAUCAUCGUGUUGAGAAAUGAAUCCCAUGUAGUCUUCUUCAUCAUGUUGGUCUGAUAAUAUUACGUGGAUGACGACACCUAAUAAAACACGUGUUGCUGUUCAGCGUGUUGUGUGUUCUGUCUGGUCAGUUGCUGUUCAGCGUGUUGUGUGUUCUGUCUGGUCUGUUGCUGUUCAGCGUGUUGUGUGUUCUGUCUGUUGCUGUUCAGCGUGUUGU
ensembl:lncRNA